rnacentral:rRNA from 1 species
CCUACGGGAGGCAGCAGUGAGGAAUAUUGGUCAAUGGCCGUAAGGCUGAACCAGCCAAGUCGCGUGAAGGAAGAAGGAUCUAUGGUUUGUAAACUUCUUUUAUAGGGGAAUAAAGGUAUCCACGUGUGGAUAUUUGCAUGUACCCUAUGAAUAAGCAUCGGCUAACUCCGUGCCAGCAGCCGCGGUAAUACGGAGGAUGCGAGCGUUAUCCGGAUUUAUUGGGUUUAAAGGGUGCGUAGGUUGUUUUUUAAGUCAGCGGUGAAAGUUUGUGGCUCAACCAUAAAAUUGCCGUUGAAACUGGAAGACUUGAGUGUGUUUGAGGUAGGCGGAAUUCGUGGUGUAGCGGUGAAAUGCUUAGAUAUCACGAAGAACCCCGAUUGCGAAGGCAGCUUACUAAACUGUGACUGACAUUGAUGCUCGAAAGUGUGGGUAUCAAACAGGAUUAGAUACCCGGGUAGUC